rnacentral:pre_miRNA from 1 species
AUAUGCCUGUACGUGUGUGGAUGGUGUUUAGCAUCAAGGACAGGUUUGUUUACCUGUGUGUGGAUGGUGUUCAGCACCAAGGCAGGUGUGUUUACCU